CGACUUCGUAAAUUUCAGUUCGAAUAAUGAUUUUGAUUGUUAAUCAUUCCAAUUCCCAAUGUGGAUUCUUGUUUUGCUCAAAGAUGUUCGUUUGUAUGUGUAUCAUAUCUAUUCCAAGACUUGUGAAAAAAAAUCCAGCCUGGAUAUGUUUGUGAAAGAAUCGAAUGAAUGAGAAAGAUAAUGAGAUUUGAACCGUUAACGAAAAGAGAGAAUAGGAUAAAAAUAAUUAGGGAGUCGAGCGGG
rnacentral:misc_RNA from 1 species